rnacentral:misc_RNA from 1 species
AAAAGCCACCACUGUCGUUUGUUGUUUUUGGCGCAAUUUCUAAAGUUUAUACAUUUAUAACUUGUGCGAAUAUUUUUGUUUUUAAUUUAACUUGUUAUAAACAAAUAAACAUAAAUAUGGCUUCAGUAUAUGAAGAUAAUGUAGUCGAAGAUUUACUUAAUGGAAAUUUACAUGAAUUACCAAGCGAUGAAGAAAAUGAUCAGAAUGGCAUGGGUGGGGAAGAUCUUUUUGGCGAAGAAGGUGAAGCCGACGGUAACUCGGGUGAAGCGCAGCCGGGCAUUAAAGUUGAGCCAAAGAAGAGAACAGUGCGAAAUCCAAGACCAAAAUUAUCUCUGGAUACUUUGACGGGACCACGCGGCAUACAUACAAUAGAAGAAUAUUUCAAAGAUAUUAGCUUCAAGGGAAAAGGACAUGAAAAACGUGACCUAGAUGAGGUGAUGCGCCGUAUGACACAUUGGGCACAUCGGAUGUAUCCAAAUUACAAAUUUGACGAUGUCUUGACAAAUAUAGAACGUAUUGGCAAGAAGAAAUCUCUUCAAGUACAUAUGUCACGUUAUCGUCUGGGUAUGUUGGAAAACUUGAAAAACAUGGGUGACAAAGCACAUGACGAAGAGGAGGAUGGUGAUGCAGAUGCAGCAGUAGAUGAACCUUUUGACGAGUUUGAUGCAUUGUUGGGUGAACAAAUUGCCAUAUCUAAAAUAGCGCCGCGUACGCCUGCACACUACAGUAGUGGUGGUGCUGAUAGAAUGGACGCGACGUUUACAGGGGCUAGUACCAGUACUUUACACACUCCAUCAUUUAAUCGCGGUAAUGCAGUCAUGUCUACACCAUAUACCAACAGUGGCCAACCAGGCCAUAAAUUAAAUGACAGCGACCUAGCGCGUCCACUACCGCCGUCACAACCGGCAUCUCCUGCUCCCAAAUUAACAGCAGAGCAAAUGGCGCGAAUAGCAGAAAAUCGUCGUAUAGCAUUGGAGAGGUUGAAAGCGAAAAAAGAACGCUUAGCACAGCAGACAAACGCAACUGUAGAUCUAACAAAGCCCAUACCAGAGGAGGCAUAACGUUUCGAAGUAAUUCGUUGUUUGAGCGAUGGUCACGAGUGGAAGUGGGCGAAAUAUAGAGUUUGCGCAUGCGUGUGGUUCUACGAAAAUUGAGAGAAUACAGAGUUAACCCUAAUAUGUAAUUCUCUCUUCAGACGCAGCCAACUAAAGACUACAUGCCUCUUGACUUUGCCGCCGCGCGAAUUUGCGUUUUGCAAUUUUUGUAAGUUCUGUAAACUAUUUGCUUAGAGAAUUUGUUAAAAGCUCUUAAAUAUCAUUACAAUCAACUUUAUUUUGCGCUAAGUUCUGCAUUGCAAUGCUGUUUUUCUUUAUAAUCUUUUGACUUGCUUUAAUUAGUUUCUAUUUUAAUUUUGUUUUGUUUGAUUUAAAAGUUUUAAGUGUAAAAUUUCGCUCUUAUAUGUACUUUUUAACUAUAAUUAUAUAUUUCUCAUUAAUUUUUAUAAAUAGUAAAUAAAAAGCAAAGUUAAAUUAUAUAUAUUAUACAUAAAUUAUUGUUUAGCUCAAGCUGCGUAUGCAUAUAAAUAUGUUUAUAUGUAUAUUUUACGCAGCUCAUUAGUUACAUGCGUUUACAGUAAAGUUUAUAAUAUUGGCGACCAUAUUAAAUGUAAAAAAUGCCACCACGCCGUCACACAUGCGCAGAUCUGCGUGACGUUAUGCUUUCUCUUUUAGGUAAUUGCAUUUGAAGUGGAAUAUUUUAUUUGAAUUUUUUUUAAAUAUUUGUGUUUUCGUUUUUUAAAUUGUAUAUUUCAUGUUUUUUAUGUUUUUUUUUUUACAACAAAUAACGUUUUUAACGCAAUCCAUGCUUUCAUAAUAGGAUAUUGAACUUAAUUUAAUAAUAAAUAUUCAUACGGAACGGUUAAACCUAAAAAAUAUCUUUAUUUAUAUUUAUUUAUUUACAUUUCUUUAUUUGCUUUAUUUUUUUUUUUUUGCAUACAGGG